rnacentral:rRNA from 1 species
UACAGGGGGUGCAACGUUGCUCGGAAUUAUUGGGCGUAAAGCGCACGUAGGCGGCUUUCUAAGUCAGGGGUGAAAUCCUGGAGCUCAACUCCAGAACUGCCUUUGAUACUGGAGAGCUCGAGUCCGGAAGAGGUGAGUGGAACUCCGAGUGUAGAGGUGAAAUUCGUAGAUAUUCGGAAGAACACCAGUGGCGAAGGCGGGCUCACUGGUCCGGUACUGGACGCUGAGGUGCGAAAGCGUGGG